CUCCUUCCUCUCUCUCUCUCUCUCGCAACAAUGGCGACAACCGCUGCUGAAGCGGUCGCAGACGAAAAGUCGAACACCUUUUCGGCAACGGUCGAAGCCGCCGUCGCCGCCGGGCCUGCCGCCUCGCCGUCGACCUCUCGCCUCCUCUCCUCCUAUCUCGGCGUCAGCUUCGCUGUCUUCUUGGGGUUCCUCCCGAGGGCCUCCCUGUCGUACCUUCCUUCUCUCCAGUCGCGCAACCGUAUCCUCGCCCUGAAGCUCUUCCAGGCCGAGGACCAGCUCCGCCAGCUCCGCUCUCGCCGCCGUGAGGACGCCAAGGCCAACGCCCGCGUCGCCGAGAUCUUCGCCGGUCACCGCCACGCCUGGCAUCAGGAGGAGCGCCGCCUCGUCCACCAGCUCUCCACCGCCGCCGCCGACAUUGCCGCCCUCAAAGCCCACAUCUCCGACCUCGAGAAGACCGAAGCCAACCUCAGAUCCUCCAUUGGGAAGCUCGAGAAAGAGGUGAGCGAGAGGGACGAGAUGCUGGAUUUCAUGGCGAGGAAGGCGGAAGGAGGAGGGCACUUCACGGAGGAGGAGAAGGAUUUGAGUUUGGAGGAGGAGGAGGAGUUGUGCGCGGAUUUCUCGGCGAUGGGAGGGAAGGUUAGGGUUUCGGAGGAGGGGUUGGAUCCUGUGGUGCCGGAGGGUUCUUUCUUGGAGAGGAACUCAGAGUUGGAUCAGAUGGUGUCGGUCUAUGCGCGGCAGAACGGUUUGGGCCGGGAUUUCUUGCCUCCGCCGGCGGCGGGGGCGGCUUGGAAGCUGUGGACGGAUAGAUCGGCCGGAUGGGAGGAUAUGCAGAAUGAUUGCCUUGAUUCCAUGUACCAUAUGAAGCCUUUUGUACCAAGGAGGGAGUCACCUUGGAAAGUAGAUGGUGAAUCAGCAGGAGUUUCUUCUAAGCUUAAAUUUCUGGAACAAGAACUAAGCAAUUUGGAGAAAGUUGGGAAGGGUGAUUUGUCCAAGAUCUCAUCAUUGAUGAGGAAGCAAGCAAAGAGAUACCAAUCUCUUGCUGGUAAAAUUGAUGAUUUAUGCAGGAGAAUGCAAGUUAGUGACCCUUGUGAUCCAAAUCUCAGCCCAGAGUUCCGAACUCAACGACAGACUGAAUUUUUGCUUGAGGCAUUUCAUCUUCAAAAUCGGGCUACAGAAAUAAGACAGAAGCUGAGCACACUGCAAACUGAGACAACCAAAAGCAAUUUGGGAGAUGAGCUAACAGCACAGGCCAAGUUGAGCACAAGAAGAUCUUUGGAUUUAGUUAGAAACAACUUUAAGGAAAUACAGAGGAAUUUGGAGAUUUGGUUGGCUCGAAUUAUGGGUGAUUUGGAGGGCAUUUUGGCCAGGGACAGUGCAUCACGUGUGAAGGAUUACUGCAUAUCUCCAUACCCUUUUGUCCAAUGAUAGCACAAUUAUUACUAUCUUCUUGGUUGUUCUACUUGUUCGAUCUUAUGUAGUCUGCUGGAUGUACUUCACUUGUGCAGGUUAAUGGAAAAAUUUAGGGGAACAGAUUGCUGAGUAAGCCAAAGAAAGGUGACGAAUAAGGGAAGUCAAGGAACUGGCAGGCAGUGCUGUCAUUUUAAAGACAUGCCUUGGAUGGAAAGUAUUUAUGCGGUGCUUGCAAUAUUUUAGCUUUUAUGGCCUUUGUAUCUCCAGGCAUAUGUCCUACAUUCACCUGCCUCUGCAAAUCACCACCCAAUUCAAUUUUUGCACUGAUCUGCAUUGAAGGUUGUCUCCCAUAUGUUGUACCCAUCGACUUAUAAG